rnacentral:rRNA from 1 species
ACGCGUUCGGCCGCUUACCAUGCAAGUCGAGCGGUAAGGCCCUUCGGGGUACACGAGCGGCGAACGGGUGAGUAACACGUGAGCAACCUGCCCCUGACUCCGGGAUAAGCGGUGGAAACGCCGUCUAAUACCGGAUAUGACCUUCCAGCUCAUGCUGGAGGGUGGAAAGUUUUAUCGGUCAGGGAUGGGCUCGCGGCCUAUCAGCUUGUUGGUGGGGUAAAGGCCUACCAAGGCGAUUACGGGUAGCCGGCCUGAGAGGGCGACCGGCCACACUGGGACUGAGACACGGCCCAGACUCCUGCGGGAGGCAGCAGUGGGGAAUAUUGCACAAUGGGCGAAAGCCUGAUGCAGCGACGCCGCGUGGGGGAUGACGGCCUUCGGGUUGUAAACCUCUUUUACCACCAACGCAGGCUCCACGUUCUCGUGGGGUUGACGGUAGGUGGGGAAUAAGGACCGGCUAACUACGUGCCAGCAGCCGCGGUAAUACGUAGGGUCCGAGCGUUGUCCGGAAUUAUUGGGCGUAAAGAGCUCGUAGGCGGCGUGUCACGUCUGCUGUGAAAGACCGGGGCUUAACUCCGGUUCUGCAGUGGAUACGGGCAUGCUAGAGGUAGGUAGGGGAGACUGGAAUUCCUGGUGUAGCGGUGAAAUGCGCAGAUAUCAGGAGGAACACCGGUGGCGAAGGCGGGUCUCUGGGCCUUACCUGACGCUGAGGAGCGAAAGCAUGGGGAGCGAACAGGAUUAGAUACCCUGGUAGUCCAUGCCGUAAACGUUGGGCGCUAGGUGUGGGGACUUUCCACGGUUUCCGCGCCGUAGCUAACGCAUUAAGCGCCCCGCCUGGGGAGUACGGCCGCAAGGCUAAAACUCAAAGGAAUUGACGGGGGCCCGCACAAGCGGCGGAGCAUGUUGCUUAAUUCGACGCAACGCGAAGAACCUUACCAAGGUUUGACAUCACCCGUGGACCUGUAGAGAUACAGGGUUCAUUUAGUUGGUGGGUGACAGUGGUGCAUGGCUGUCGUCAGCUCGUGUCGUGAGAUGUGGGUAAGUCCCGCAACGAGCGCAACCCUUGUUCUAUGUUGCCAGCCACGUCAUGGUGGGGGA